UACAGAGGUGGCAAGCGUUGCUCGGUAUCACUGGGCUUAAAGGGCGCGUAGGCGGUGCGGUACGGUUUCGGUGAAAUCCCUCGGCCCAACCGAGGAACAGCCGGAGCUACGGCCGGACUAGACGGCAUCAGGGGACAGUGGAACUCCCGGUGGAGCGGUGAAAUGCGUAGAUAUCGGGAGGAACGCCGGUGGCGAAAGCGACUGUCUGGGGUGCCUGUGACGCUGAGGCGCGGAAAGCCCAGGGGAUCAAAACGGGG
rnacentral:rRNA from 1 species